GCUUGCUGGAGGGGACGCCGCAGGGGACAGUGCUGGGCAGCGGGGACACCGCCUCCUCCGCGGGCCUUCUGAUGUGUGACCAGCGCAGCUGGCUCCCCCCCCCCACCGUGCUCGGGCCCUCUGCCUGGUGGCCCCUGUGCCGUCCUUUGCACCACGGGCUUCUUGGUCUCAGGUCUCCGUUCUCAGGUCACGUCCCAGAGGGGCCCCGUCCCUUCCAGCGCAGCCCCGGCCGGCAGCACUCCUCCCAAAUCCCGGUUCUCGGGCAAGGGCUGUGAUUGGCUCCGGUCGGCCGGUUCUCAGCGUCAGUGUAUUUGUGGGGCAGGAGAGUGAGCCCGGUUAUCCGGUCAGGGCCACCUGUCUGCCCCAGCUAGGGCCCGGCACUCUAAGACAAAGGUACUGUGUUUAUAUCCAGUACACACACCGUCAGAAAGGAGAACUUUCUCUUGAGUUGGUCAUUGGAAUUAGGCCCAACCUUCCAGUCAAGCACCUCUGCCACCCACACCAAUAUCCUUAACUCCUUUGCCCUCCCAUCUGCAACUACCCAAGAUGUGUGUGAACCCUGGAUUGGCUGAAAUGUCCACUUCCCUUGCCUAGGCUACUAACAACUAGUGGGAAAAAUACUCUUCAAAAAGAGCCCUAAGGUCCAUGUAUCAUUUAUCCUUCCCGGAGGCCUUUCCCUGCUUCCUAGAAGUCGUGGUCUGUUUCCUAGUCAGCUGGUCUGCCGGUUCCACGACCGCUCCUGCAGCAUUCUUUGGUUUGCUCCAGCCUGUAUCCACCCCCAUCACAGGCAUCGCUGGCAACAUCCAUCCCAAGGGAAGAUGCCCAGACUACGAGGGUACCCGGCCUCAGAACCAAAGCUCUACACCCAACGUGGGGCUUGAAUUCGUGACCCCGAGAUCAAGAACCACAUGCUCCUCCAACUGAGCCAGCCACAUGCUCCUAAGAUCCCAUCCAGACACCACAUUACGUUUGGUAAUCAUGUCUCUUCGGCUCCUCUCGUCUGUGACAUAACCGUACAUUUAAAAAUAACAGCAGAAUGCACACCAUCACUGCAGGAGGUGCAGAAGCAAAUCAAAACAGCUGCCAAGUCCACAUAAUACUCACACAAGACGCCAGCAUCUGUUUACCAGCUCACCAUGUGAAUAAUGCACAAUUUCCUUCUCUCAGACUGCAAUCGCCAGCUGAUUCAGGUGCAGCAGGACACUGCAAAAUCUAAAAGUCACCUCAACCCAAAGGAGAAAGCCUGUCAAUUCAAAUUCAGUAUCCGCGUAACACGGCCAGAGAGGAUGCUGAAACUCACACUUGAGAGAAUUGAUUAUGAAUAUUCCAGAAAACAGGUGCCAAGAUACAGAUACACAGACAUCCUCAAACCUCCGUGGAGGAGGUGCUCCAAUAAUUCCAUUUUUAAAUUAGUUACUGAAACCUAAAGGACAUUUAUUGAUCCUUGGAACAUUGUUAUGAAUACUGGACAAGUUCUAAUAACCCACCAAAAUGUAUUCAACCAAUAAUACCAGUGAGACAGGAUACCGUUGCGGUGAGCAAUAUAAAACAAAUGCUACAUCAAGAAUAAUCAUAGGGGGGAUCCCUGGAUGACUCAGCAGUUUAGCACCUGCCCAGGGUGUGAUCCUGUAGACCCGGAAUCGAGCCCCGCAUCAGGCUCCCUGCAUGCAGCCUGCUUCUCCCUCUGCCUCUCUCUCUCAAUCAAUCAAUCAAUCAAUCAAUCAAUAAAAUCUUUUUUUAAAAAAUGGGCAGAAGAUGUUAAGAGACAUUUCUCCAAAGACUUCCAGAUGGCCAACAGACACACAAAAAGAUGCUCAACAUCACUCAUCAUCAGGGAAAUGCAAAUCAAAACCACAAUAAGAUGUCCCCUCACACCUGUCAGAACAGCAAAAAAUCGAAAACACAAAUACCAGGUGUUGGCAAGGCAGUGGAGAAAGGGGAACCAUCCUGCCCUGUUGGUGGGAACACAAACUGGUGUGGCCACUCUGGAAAACAGUAGGAGCUUCCCCCCAAAAAAAAUUUAAA